CGGACGGGUGAGUAACACGUGGAUAACCUACCUAUAAGACUGGGAUAACUUCGGGAAACCGGAGCUAAUACCGGAUAAUAUAUUGAACCGCAUGGUUCAAUAGUGAAAGACGGUUUUGCUGUCACUUAUAGAUGGAUCCGCGCCGCAUUAGCUAGUUGGUAAGGUAACGGCUUACCAAGGCAACGAUGCGUAGCCGACCUGAGAGGGUGAUCGGCCACACUGGAACUGAGACACGGUCCAGACUCCUACGAGAGGCAGCAGCC
rnacentral:rRNA from 1 species